rnacentral:misc_RNA from 1 species
AAGAAAAAACCGUUGAUGAAAAUCAACGGUUUUUUCAAUGAUAUUCGGCUUACGCCGAGUGAUAUUGCUU